rnacentral:tRNA from 1 species
UAGGUUAACAAAAAGUUAUUAUUUACAAUAAUAUAUUCACCAUAUAAAGGUUUAACCUAA